CGGGUGAGUAACGCGUAGGUAACCUGCCUUGUAGCGGGGGAUAACUAUUGGAAACGAUAGCUAAUACCGCAUAACAAUGGAUGACACAUGUCAUUUAUUUGAAAGGGGCAAUUGCUCCACUACAAGAUGGACCUGCGUUGUAUUAGCUAGUAGGUGAGGUAACGGCUCACCUAGGCGACGAUACAUAGCCGACCUGAGAGGGUGAUCGGCCACACUGGGACUGAGACACGGCCCAGACUCCUACGGGAGGCAGCAGUAGGGAAUCUUCGGCAAUGGGGGCAACCCUGACCGAGCAACGCCGCGUGAGUGAAGAAGGUUUUCGGAUCGUAAAGCUCUGUUGUAAGUCAAGAACGAGUGUGAGAGUGGAAAGUUCACACUGUGACGGUAGCUUACCAGAAAGGGACGGCUAACUACGUGCCAGCAGCCGCGGUAAUACGUAGGUCCCGAGCGUUGUCCGGAUUUAUUGGGCGUAAAGCGAGCGCAGGCGGUUUGAUAAGUCUGAAGUUAAAGGCUGUGGCUCAACCAUAGUUCGCUUUGGAAACUGUCAAACUUGAGUGCAGAAGGGGAGAGUGGAAUUCCAUGUGUAGCGGUGAAAUGCGUAGAUAUAUGGAGGAACACCGGUGGCGAAAGCGGCUCUCUGGUCUGUAACUGACGCUGAGGCUCGAAAGCGUGGGGAGCGAACAGGAUUAGAUACCCUGGUAGUCCACGCCGUAAACGAUGAGUGCUAGGUGUUGG
rnacentral:rRNA from 1 species